rnacentral:rRNA from 1 species
AUUGAACGCUGGCGGCAGGCCUAACACAUGCAAGUCGAGCGAGCGGCGGACGGGUGAGUAAUAUCUGGGAAACUGCCUGAUGGAGGGGGAUAACUACUGGAAACGGUAGCUCAUACCGCAUCCCAUCAGGUGUGCCCAGAUUGGAUUAGCUAGUAGGUGGGGUAACGGCUCACCUAGGCGACGAUCCCUCGCGGGUCUGAGAGGAUGAACAGCCACACUGGAACUGAGACACGGUCCAGACUCCUACGGGAGGCAGCAGUGGGGAAUAUGGGACAAUGGGCGAAAGCCUGAUGCAGCCAUGCCGCGUGUGUGAAGAAGGCCUUCGGGUUGUAAAGCACUUUAAGCGGGGAGGCGUUACCCGCAGAAGAAGCACCGGCUAACUCCGUGCCAGCAGCCGCGGUAAUAC